UCCUACGGGAGGCAGCAGUGGGGAAUAUUGCACAAUGGGCGCAAGCCUGAUGCAGCGAUGCCGCGUGAGGGAAGAAGGUUUUCGGAUUGUAAACCUCUGUCAUCAGGGACGAAAAUGACGGUACCUGAGAAGGAAGCUCCGGCUAACUACGUGCCAGCAGCCGCGGUAAU
rnacentral:rRNA from 1 species